UUUAUUAAAAAUCAUUGUGUAGGUCGUGAAAGACUCUUCGGAUUAAUCAAGCUGGAAGUUCUUGAUUUUGCAUCUAAUGAUGGGAUUAUCGAUGAUGAUAUUCUAUCAGUGCUAAAUCUGAAUCAUUUUAUCAAUUUAAAGGAGCUCGACCUAAGUUUUAAUGAAUUUAGAAGCUUGGGUACUACUUAUGGUCUAAAAUAUUUGACGGUCCUUCAUUUACAAUCAAAUCACUUUAAUAAUAGCAUUUUCUCCUCACUUCACGGGCUAUCAUCACUCAAGUCUCUAGAUCUCUCUUACAAUAAACUAAAAGGAACCAUCCAAAUGAAAGGUUAGUUCCACAGUUUAGGACUCCUUAUUUUUCUUAUUUGUGUCUAGCAA